rnacentral:rRNA from 1 species
CUCCUACGGGAGGCAGCAGUGGGGAAUAUUGCACAAUGGGGGAAACCCUGAUGCAGCGACGCCGCGUGAGUGAAGAAGUAUUUCGGUAUGUAAAGCUCUAUCAGCAGGGAAGAUAAUGACGGUACCUGNCUAAGAAGCACCGGCUAAAUACGUGCCAGCAGCCGCGGUAAUACGUAUGGUGCAAGCGUUAUCCGGAUUUACUGGGUGUAAAGGGUGCGUAGGUGGCAAGGCAAGUCUGAAGUGAAAAUCCGGGGCUCANCCCCGGAACUGCUUUGGAAACUGUUUAGCUAGAGUNCAGGAGAGGUAAGUGGAAUUCCUAGUGUAGCGGUGNAAUGCGUAGAUAUUAGGAGGAACACCAGUGGCGNAGGCGACUUACUGGACUGNUACUGACNCNGAGGCGCGUAAGCGUNGGGNCCCAANCAGGAUUAGAUNGCCCUGNUAAUACCGCGCCGUNANGCGAUGAAUGGUAGNNGGAUGGAGUUNCNAA